rnacentral:rRNA from 1 species
GUCGAACGGGAUCCUUCGGGGUCUAGUGGCGCACGGGUGCGUAACGCGUGGGAAUCUACCCUUGGGUUCGGAAUAACAGCGAGAAAUUACUGCUAAUACCGGAUAAUGUCGCAAGACCAAAGAUUUAUUGCCCAGGGAUGAGCCCGCGUAAGAUUAGCUAGUUGGUGGGGUAAAGGCCUACCAAGGCGACGAUCUUUAGCUGGUCUGAGAGGAUGAUCAGCCACACUGGGACUGAGACACGGCCCAGACUCCUACGGGAGGCAGCAGUGGGGAAUAUUGGACAAUGGGCGAAAGCCUGAUCCAGCAAUGCCGCGCUGAGUGAUGAAGGCCUUAGGGUUGUAAAGCUCUUUUACCCGGGAAGAUAAUGACUGUACCGGGAGAAUAAGCCCCGGCUAACUCCGUGCCAGCAGCCGCGGUAAUACGGAGGGGGCUAGCGUUAUUCGGAAUUACUGGGCGUAAAGCGUACGUAGGCGGUGGUUCAAGUCAGAGGUGAAAGCCCGGAGCUCAACUCCGGAACUGCCUUUGAAACUAGAUCGCUAGAACAUCGGAGAGGUAAGUGGAAUUCCGAGUGUAGAGGUGAAAUUCGUAGAUAUUCGGAAGAACACCAGUGGCGAAGGCGGC